UACAGAGGCCUCGAGCGUUAGGCGGAAUCACUGGGCUUAAAGCGUGUGUAGGCGGACUUCUAAGUACCUUGUGAAAUCCCACGGCUCACCCGUGGAAUUGCUCGGUAUACUGGUCGUCUUGAGCCUUCUAGGGGCGAGUGGAACAAGUGGUGGAGCGGUGAAAUGCGUAGAUAUCACUUGGAACGCCAAUGGUGAAGACAGCUCGCUGGGGGUGUCCUGACGCUGAGGCGCGAAAGCCAGGGGAGCGAACGGG
rnacentral:rRNA from 1 species